GGCAAAUGUGCCUUAGUGGUGUAGUGGUAGAGCACGCGUCCCCGGAUAGGAUGAAACGUGGGUUCGAUUCCCGCCUUUGCUU